UACGUAGGGGGCAAGCGUUGUCCGGAAUCAUUGGGCGUAAAGAGCGUGUAGGCGGCUCGAUAGGUCUGCUGUGAAAGUCCAGGGCUCAACCCUGGAAGGCCGGUGGAAACUGUCGGGCUAGAGUCCGGAAGAGGCGAGUGGAAUUCCCGGUGUAGCGGUGAAAUGCGCAGAUAUCGGGAGGAACACCAAUGGCGAAGGCAGCUCGCUGGGACGGUACUGACGCUGAGACGCGAAAGCGUGGGGAGCAAACAGG
rnacentral:rRNA from 1 species